UACGUAGGGUGCAAGCGUUGUUCGGAUUUACUGGGCGUAAAGGGCGCGUAGGCGGCAUGACAAGUCACUUGUGAAAUCUCUGGGCUUAACCCAGAACGGCCAAGUGAUACUGUCGCGCUAGAGUGCGGAAGGGGCAAUCGGAAUUCUCGGUGUAGCGGUGAAAUGCGUAGAUAUCGAGAGGAACACCUGAGGUGAAGACGGGUUGCUGGGCCGACACUGACGCUGAGUGCGCGAAAGCCAGGGGAGCAAACGGG
rnacentral:rRNA from 1 species